AUGUCUAUGACUUUAAUUACAGGAGCAGAGGGGUCGGAAAGGGAAAACAGUGGCAGCUGCGGUGUAGUAGGUGCUGAGAUAACGACCUUAGCGCUGGAUAACGGAGCUUACAACACCAAAAUUGGUUACAGCCAUGAAAAUGUGUCGGUCAUUCCUAAUUGUCAGAUCCGGUCAAAAUCAGUACGCCUUAACACUUUUACUGCGAACCAGACAGAUGAAAUAAAAGACCCUUCCGGACUCUUCUACAUCCUUCCUUUUCAAAAGGGCUUCUUGGUGAAUUGGAAUGUUCAAAGACAAGUUUGGGAUUACCUUUUUGGAAAAGAAAUGUAUCGGGUAACAAAGUAGAGUUGAUUUUUUAGAUACUAAUAUUAUUAUCACUGAACCAUACUUCAAGAAUCAAUAAAUGAAAUUCUAUUUGAAGAAUACCAGUUCCAAGCAGUAUUAAAAGAAAAUGCUGGGGCUCUCAGUACACAUAGAUAUUUCCGAGGUAAUCCUUAUGAAUUGUGCUGUGUCAUUGUUGAUAGUGGAUAUUCCUUUAUACAUAUAGUUCCUUAUUGUAGAAGCAAAAGGAAAAAAGAAGCAAUUAUUCGGCAGCUACAUGGCAUGGAUGAAACACGUGUGAUUAAUCAAAUGAAAGAAGAUGUAUACUAUGUGUCUCAGGAUUUUUGAUAGAGACAUGGAUACUGCAAAGUUGAAAAGAGAAGAAAAUACAGUAAUGAUAGACUAUGUCUUGCCUGACUUCAGUACAAUUAAAAAGGGCUUCUCUAAGCCAAGGGAAGAGAUGGUGUUGAGUGGAAAAUAUAAAUUUGGGGAACAAAUUCUUCGUCUGGGCAAUGAGAGAUUUGCUGUUCCAGAAAUACUCUUUAAUCCUGUUAUAGGCUUUCAAGAAAUGGGAAUUCCAGAAGGUAUUGUCUAUUCAAUUCAGAAUCUACCUGAAGAAAUGCAGCUGAAUUUUUUUUUAAGAACAUUGUCUUGACAGGAGGAAACUCCCUUUUCCGAGGAUUUAGGGAUCGGGUUUACUCAAAAGUUUGAUAUCUUACUCCAACAGAUUAUGAUGUUUCUGUUAUGCUGCCUGAAAACCCUAUUACUUAUGUCUGGGAAGGUGGAAAAUUGAUAUCAGAGAAUGAUGAUUUUGAAGAUAUGGUGGUAAUGAGAAGAUUAUGAAGAAAAUGGACAUAGCAUCUGUGAAAUUUGA